AACUCGGGCAACUUCCUGCACGGCGGCGCGACAGGGUCGCUGCUUGACUUGGUGGGCUCUGCUGUCUUCUACACCACUGUGGCACAAACCAGGGGCUUGCCACUAGGGAUAAACGUCUCCUACCUGGAUGCGGCAUUUUCGAAUGUAGAGAUUGAUAUCGGAGCCAAGGUGCGCGCCGUAAAAGCAGUAGGAGUGGCUACUGCGGAACUGAAGAAAAAAUCUGGCAGAAUCAUCGCUCAGGCCCGCUAUUCCAAGUAUAUUGGUGCAUCUAGUAGACUGAAGGCGACCCUGCCAUGUAAGUUGUAA
rnacentral:rRNA from 1 species